UACGGAGGAUGCAAGCGUUAUCCGGAUUUAUUGGGUUUGAAGGGUGCGCAGGCGGGGGAUUAAGUCGGCGGUGAAAUUUUGCAGCUCAACUGUAAAAGUGCCUUCGAAACUGGUUUCCUUGAGUGUAGAUGAAGUAGGCGGAAUUUGUGGUGUAGCGGUGAAAUGCAUAGAUAUCACGAGGAACUCCGAUUGCGCAGGCAGCUUACUAAACUACUACUGACGCUCAGGCACGAAGGCGUGGGGAUCAAACAGGAUUAGAUACCCCCGUA
rnacentral:rRNA from 1 species